UGAUUCCAUAACAUGUGUUUU
rnacentral:piRNA from 1 species